GAAUCAUAUAGAUCAGGUAAUCAUCUUCAGUUUUGAAAGACUUAGAGUAAAAAGUUUUUCUUUUUUAAGCGAAGGGCCUAUAGCUCAGCUGGUUAGAGCACACGCCUGAUAAGCGUGAGGUCGGUGGUUCAAGUCCAUUUAGGCCCACCAGCAUAUAAGGUACUCGUUUAAAAAAAGUUCUUUGAAA
rnacentral:misc_RNA from 1 species